CCUACGGGAGGCAGCAGUGAGGAAUAUUGGUCAAUGGCCGUAAGGCUGAACCAGCCAAGUAGCGUGAGGGAAGACUGCCCUCUGGGUUGUAAACCUCUUUUAUGCGGGGAUAAAGGUGUCCACGUGUGGAUGUUUGCAGGUACCGCAUUAAUAAGGACCGGCUAAUUCCGUGCCAGCCGCCGCGGUAAUACGGAAGUUCCGGGCGUUAUCCGGAUUGAUUGGGUUUAAAGGGAGCGUAGGCCGGUCUUUAAGCGUGCCGUGAAAUUUUGUGGCUCAACCAUGAGAGUGCGGCGCGAACUGGAGACCUUGAGUGCGCGGAAGGCAGGCGGAAUUCGUGGUGUAGCGGUGAAAUGCUUAGAUAUCACGAAGAACCCCGAUUGCGAAGGCAGCCUGCCGCAGCGUUACUGACGCUGAAGCUCGAAAGCGUGGGGAGCAAACAGGAUUAGAUACCCGUGUAGUC
rnacentral:rRNA from 1 species